rnacentral:rRNA from 1 species
UACGUAGGGUGCGAGCGUUAAUCGGAAUUACUGGGCGUAAAGCGUGCGCAGGCGGUUUUGUAAGCCAGGUGUGAAAUCCCCGGGCUCAACCUGGGAAUGGCAUUUGGGACUGCAAGGCUCGAGUGCGGCAGAGGAGACUGGAAUUCCUGGUGUAGCAGUGAAAUGCGUAGAUAUCAGGAGGAACACCGAUGGCGAAGGCAGGUCUCUGGGCUGACACUGACGCUCAUGCACGAAAGCGUGGGGAGCAAACAGG